rnacentral:rRNA from 1 species
AGCAGCCGCGGUAAUUCCAGCUCCAAUAGCGUAUAUUAAAGUUGUUGCAGUUAAAAAGCUCGUAGUUGAAUUUCGGGAUCAGUACGCUGGUCGUGCCUCGGUACGUACUGGCAUUGUUGGUUUCUCCCUUCUGACGAACCAUGAUGUCAUUAAUUUGGUGUCAUGGGGAAUCAGGACUGUUACUUUGAAAAAAUUAGAGUGUUUAAAGCAGGCUCACGCUUGAAUACAUUAGCAUGGAAUAAUGAAAUAGGACGUUUGAUUCUAUUUUGUUGGUUUCUAGGAUCGACGUAAUGAUUAAUAGGGAUAGUUGGGGGCAUUAGUAUUCAAUUGUCAGAGGUGAAAUUCUUGGAUUUAUUGAAGACUAACUACUGCGAAAGCAUUUGCCAAGGAUGUUUUCAUUAAUCAAGAACGAAAGUUAGGGGAUCGAAGACGAUCAGAUACCGUCGUAGU